GAGCCUCAAACCCGUGUCCAUAUUGUGUGUGUGAAGAAGCAUCGAAGCGCGGCAGCCAUGUUCAGCGUGGCAUUUCGGAAGGCUUGUCAGGGGUGGAGAAGCGGGGCGGGUUGCUGUUCUUUCACCUGACACUAAAGCGCCAUGCCGGAAGCACUGAGUCUGAUACGUCGGAACCAGUCUCCACCGUGUGGUUUGGUCUUGAUUUCCACUGGUACUCUGGGGUCUUGGAUAAGUCUCUGGACCUCGCCUUUGUCAUUUGCGAAGUCGAUAGGUUCCAAUAGAGAUUUUCCCAGAAUCAUUCAACUAAAAAUAGAGAACUUUUUUUUUUUGAGAGGAAGGACGGGGGCGCAGUUAAAGAUGUUAAUGUUAAGUCAUCCCUUCUGUGAUUUCGGGACAUUAUCUUUGCACGCCAUGUGAAGAUGUGCUUGCUUCCUUGUCACCUUCCGCCAUGAUUGUAAGUUUCCUGAGGCCUCCCAGGAAGCAGAAGCCUGUACAGCCCACAGAACCAUGACCUGAUGAAAUCUCUUUUCUUUAUAAAUUACCCAGUCUCAGGUAUGUCUUUAUGGCUGUGUGAGAAUGGACUAAUACAGAAACUUAAUGUCUAAUGCAAUCGUGUUGAGAGGUGGAACUUUUAAAAGAUGAUUAGGUCGUGAGAGCCCUCCCUCAUGUAUAGAUCAAUGCUGUUACCAGAGGAGUAGGUUCCUGAUAAAAGAAGGAGUUUGGAGUUUGGCCCUUUCUCUCUCACUUGCUCUCGUUCUCAUGCUCUCUCUCACGUGCACACUCUCUCUCUCUUUCUUGCUCUCUUGCCCAUCUACCUUCUGCUGUGGGAUGACACAACAAGAAGGCAGUCUCUAGAUGCAGGUCCCUUGAACUUUUACUUCCUGGACUCAAGAACUGUAAGAAGUAAAUCUCUGUUCUUUAUAAAUUACCCAGUCUCAGGUAUUCUGUUUUAGCAGCAGAAAACAGACUAAGACUAAUCUAAUCAUAUUUUCUCUGUCACUACUUCUAGUUCAGAUGUUUUAGUUUGAUUACCAGAGGAAAGACAGCAAAGAUGUUAGGAAAGAAAGUACACUGAAAUGCCAAAAAUUCUGAAUUCCAUCAUUUCUUCAGGCAGCCAACAUUUAUUAAACGUCUGUUUGAGACCUGGGAAUAUGUUAGGCACCAGGGCUGCAGAGAUGACUAGGAAACAGUCUCUACUCUCAAGUUAGUGGGGAGACACGAUCUAUAAGGAACAUUUCAGCAAAAUUUAGGAAAUUCUGUCACAGUGGAAUACCAGGAUGCCUAAGUAGCACAGAGGAGAGGCAUAAUAUAAUGAAAUUCGUAGAGUAAGGUAGUGCAAUGGUAUUUGCCAGAGACUGGAGGGAAGGGGAAAUGGGGAGGUAUUAGUCACAAGGUACAAACUUGGUUAUACAAGAUUAGAGAUCAAACAACACUGUAGAGUGUAUUUACAAAAUUUGUUAAGAGGAUACAUCUUAUGUAUUCUACUCACACAUAACA
rnacentral:lncRNA from 10 species